GGAGGGGGCGCGCGCCGCGUGGGUUCGAUUCCCG
rnacentral:tRNA from 1 species